rnacentral:tRNA from 1 species
UAUAACAAGAAAUGAUUUAUCAUAUAUGAUUUCGGCUCAUACUUUAGGUGUAUAUUACACCCUUGUUUA